UUUCCUAAUCUGGCCUAGCAACCCCCUGGUCUUAUUUCUUAAGCAAUUAGCUUUUGUUACUAUGACUAAACAUUUGCCCUUUCCAUCACUGACAAUGAUAAUGUAAUGUUUUGUGUCAUUGGGUCUCCAUUUUGUGGAUUUCGGGUCAAAACCCAAGGGCUCCCUCCCCUUCAAUCCCCUCUUCUAAUGCUUUGGCUCUGAAACGCAGUGCGUGAAACCUCAUUGCUCGAUCAUUUCCUCCCCCCUUCUUUCUUCCUGCUCUGCUCUUUCUUCGAUCCUUUCUCUUCUUCUUUCUUCCUCAUUUAUCCCUCUUAGUUCGUCUCCCAUCAGCGGCUGCAAAUGGGCUCUGAGACGUGGUUAGUGAAACCCUCAUCGCUUUUCUUCCUGCUCUGAAACGCAACUGCAAAUCGUCUCUGAAACCCUCAUUUACGAUUUCCUUCUUUCCAUGAACUGAUUGUAUGAGACACAAAGAAGAAAGAGAAAGAAAACCAUGUUCAGACUCUCCAAUAGCCUACACAAGCCCAAACAGAACAGCCCAUAAUUUUUUUUUCCUCAAAGAAAAAUAAAUUGGGGGAGCAGUGAAUGGAAAAGCAAAAACAGAAGUUCUCACAUCGGGUGCCUGAGGAACGAGAUUCAGGUUAGGGCGAAUACACCAAAUUGGACCAUUUGGCUUUCGAUUCUGCAGGAGGGUAUCAACCCCGGUGCGUAGAGAACUCCAUUAGCGUUGCUCGGAGGAAGGGCUUAGUAGAGGAGAAGAUACCAUUGACAUAGAUGAAAUUUCGUAUAGUAGAAGGUAUGUUUCCUUGUUGCAAGCUGGAGAUGAGGUAUCUAAGGAUGCCGCCAUGCGAGAUCUCUGAGAGUUGCCCAGAGAGAGAGAGAGAGAGAGACGCCCUUACGCCGUUGACAGUGGAGAACAAAGUAAGCCAGGUGAUGGCAGAGAGAGGGUUUGAAAGGGAGCAACGAUUUUGACCCGAAAUCCAUAAACCGGGAGACCCAAAUCCUCUCUUUCAUUGGUCGCCGUUGGAUCGGUUUCAACCACGUGUCAGCAGUCUAAGCCGUUUCCGCCGGUCUCCGCCACAGAUCGUCUCCACAGACGAUUUUUUCCCCAAUUGGAACCAUCUCUGUUACAAAACGAACACAUUAACACCUUCAAGUGAAAACUCUUUACUAACCCCGAACUCCCGAUUCCUUCGUCCGUCCUUCUUUCCUUUUCAGUCCAAAUCCUAUACCUCGUCUCAGAUUCUCGAUCUGCCGGUCCCUUCCUCUUCUCCGUCUCCGACUGUGAUUGCAGCGGCCCUAGUCGAGGAGGAAUCGACUCCGACAGCAUUGCAACGGCUCCUUCAUCUUCUCAACGUCUCCGGUACAGAACAAUAGAUCAAUGAAUCCUCCAAGUAUUUCAAGAUCCAUUGAUGAGAUAACAAGAACGGCUGUUUCCUAGAGUUGCUGUCUCCUUUUUUUUCUGGUGCAAUCAUAUCGAGGGAUCAUAGGUCAAAUUGUUGUAUCCUUCAUUUCCCCUUCUCAGCAUUUGUCCUCUUUGUUCCAUGAACCUCAAUUCGCCUUCUAGCGCAGCAAUUUUGGGGCUUUGUUUCUUCUGAAGUGAAGGGCUCUUACAAUGCAUAGAGACCAUGGAGACAUGGCUAUCAUAAUUUGUUUUACUUUGAACCUGCUUUUAAAAUUCAGUGUUUUGUUUUCCUGUUUGAGGAGCCACAGGAAGCCAAUUGGAUAGGUUUCAAGUCAUUCAUUUUCUACAAUAUCAUAUCAAAUUGCUGUUCUUUAAGCUAUGAGUUACCCAUAUUUGCAAGGGGACUUAAAAGGCCUAAUGGCUGAAUUUAUCAUUAUCUAUCAGGAACACAAUAAAGUGUUAAGACUCUUUUAGUGACCUAAAACAGAUAAGUUGCUUAGUGAUACUCUUUAGUGACCUAAAACAGAGAAGUUGUUUUAUUCAAUAAAGUGGCUUACUUGAUUUACCAUCUUGUGGAUUGGUUUCUUUGUAAGUAGAGGUUGUUUUGGAGUAUCUUUCUAUCUGAUGGAAUUACUUGGAAGGUUUCUAUGUCAGUUUGAGUUCGGAUCCAUAAAACAUAUUGGGCUGCCAUUACCAGGAAUACAUGAUGUGCUUCUUCUCUAUAGCUAAGUUUAUAGUUAUAAACGUGUUAUUUGUAUAGGCAUUAUUUUAUACCGUUUUUGAUUUGUGGCAUUUGAUUGAAACAAAUAGGUUAAUCAAUUCUGUAUUGCGUGGAUACAAGAGAACAAUUACAUUGAUACUUGAUCAUAUAGUGCAUAAGUAUUCAGAUAUUAUAUUCAGUUGUGAGGCUUUUUUUCUGAUAAAAUCAUUGUCUACAUGCUAUUACUCUAUUUAAUUAAUAGGUGAAGGUGAUGUACAUGCUUAUUGCAUUUUGUGUAUAUAUGCCCGAAUAUUGCUCCUGGAUUUUUUCAGGGAAACCGUAUAAAACACGUACCAUAUUAAUUCCAUACACACUUUUUUGCACCAGAUUUUUAUAAACUAUUAUUACAAUCUAGUCCAUUUAAUGCCCGUACAUAUCUGUAUUUUUUACGCACCCAAACUUACUAUGGUUACAACACAGUAUAACAUUGGUAAGUGACAUAAUUUGAUACAAUUCUCAGCCCACACUUGAACAACACACACUGAGCCACUCAUUACACGGACUAUUUUAUAUGUCCCAUGGAAUGACUAUCUAGUUCACAAUUCUAAGGAAAUAAAACUGGGAUGGGAUUAUAGAAUUAAAAAAAAAAAUGUCACUCAAGAUUUUCCUUUUGUUCUUUUGUUUAAGUUGGAAGAUGUUUUACCCAAAAAAAAAAGAAAAAAAUAGUAGGAAGAUGUUUUCUACCAAAAGAUAAAACAAAUAAAUUUAUAAUGUCCCCUUAAAAGUAUUGUCACACACUAGAAAAAGCCAAAAAAGUUUUGAUGACCUUUAAAACAAAUUCUUGAGCUAGCUUGUGAUGUGUUCCUUUAAAUGCUGAACCUUAGAAUUUAAUGCACAAGAAGAUGCAGCCCUACAUUGGAGAUGGUAGGGUUAGUGUAUAAUGGUCAAUGUUUUUUUAGGGUAAUGUAGAGCUAGGUCACAAAGGACUUAAUCCCAUUCACACCCAAUCGGAUUAACAAGCUACCAUAGAACAUCCUUCUUUGAAUUCUGAUUUAAUCGUCAGUAAUUGGGCAGCAACUGAUCAAAGCAGCUGAUAGAGUACUCCAUCUUAGGACUUUCAGUAACAGUAGUCUUCCUUCGAUUGAUGUUGAAUAUGCAGCAGAAUUUCAGGAACAACUCUCUCACAGGAACCAAUUGUAAGAAAUAAAGGAAAAUAGGAAAUAUAAAGAAGGAAGAAUAAGGGAUUGGGAAGGGGAUAGGUUUGACUCUCUCAGUUUAGGAUCACUCACCCAGGACAUCUCACCAAACUGCAUCACACAGCCACUAGUCGAAACCAGCAUAACAUCUUUUUUUAUUUUUUUCAAUUCAAAUCGUGGGCUGUAGAUCAGCCUUGUCCUUUAUUUAUAGAAUUGAUCAUCAAUUACAUCCUAAUUGACUGAACUAAAACCUUCCUAUUACAAAUCCAAAUAAAAAUAAAACUCCCUAAUGCAAAACCAGGGUUCUUAAAAAAAACCUGCUUGGUUCGCUUAAUGGCCCACCCAAAUAAGAGUCCUCAAUAUUCAAAAAUGCAGUGGCAGUAUUGUAAAUAAACAGAAGUAAUAAAGAGGGUGGCGGAAUUGUAAAUAACCAGAUUAGUAAUGAAGUACUUGAAAGAUGGGACUUAAAGGGGAUUAAUAGUUAUUUGGUGGGGGUAACUUAGGAAGUUAAAUAGUAGUAGGGGAUAUGGGAGAAUUAAUGACAAAUAGAAGGGUAUAAUAGGAAAUUGGAAUAAAAGCCAGAAAAAUAAGCAACUCACAACUCUUCUUCAACCUUGUGUCAGAACCAUGAACCAGGCAGAGACCGUGAGACUCAAGGAAGAAGAAAACUCUUGUAAGAACUCAGAUCGAUCUGAAAUUUGGGAAGGAGGGUCACAACUCACAUCCCUACUAAAACCAUUACAUAGCCUCUUUAGAAAACAAACAACCCAGAAGUUCCAGAGGUCUGAAACUGAGCUCUACGGUGGGGUUCUGUUCAGACCUGCAACUGGAGUUCUAUCCUUUUAUGAGAGGGAUUUCUGGAACCAGGGUUUGAGGGUUUGGAUCUCUUAGGGAUGAGCAACC